GCGGAAAGAGCUCGGCAAGGUUUUGAGCAACAGAUUGUGAAUCUGUAGGUCAAGGGUUCGAAUCCCUUUUUUCGCC
rnacentral:tRNA from 1 species